CAAUGGCUGUGAAGUCCUAUAAUAGUUCGCUGGAUUUUCUAUGAAGUAACCAACUCAUUGCUCUCCAAAGUAUAUGGUUCCACAGUCCCAAAUUCCACCAGUAUAAUCUUCCUUUGCUGUUUCUGGGGGGGGGGGGGGAUCGACAUUCCUUUGGUUGAAGUUUUACUACACUGUCUUUCACAAUGGUAUGCUCCAUCUAAUCAGGGCUUCUAUGGUGUCGUCUUUAUGUAGUGAAGCCCAGGCAAGCUUGACCUGACCCAGUCCUGUGGUCAGCAACACACUACAGAAAAAUGAAGCCGAACGUGCUUCCAAAUGCCACGUUAAUCUAUCUGAUCUUGCUCGCCCUAUCAGAGAUGCCACCUGACCCACUGGUCAUUUCCAGUAAAUUUCUGUCAUGUGUGUAACUUUCCCCAGGCCUAUGGCCUACUCUUCCUGACGCAGAUUCUUGCCGGGGAUUUUGACUGCUGCUAUACUACCGUAAGGACUGCUCCAUCCUUAGACUUGUCCUGCUUGGUGGCGGAAUAAUAUCAGCGCCGGACUCCGGAGCGAAGGUUCCAAUGUUCGAAUCCAAGAUGGGUUGAACGUCGAGCUAGCAACUCGGCCUCGUAAAAACAAGAAUAGCUUGCUAUAGAAACAUCGUCAUGAUGGUGCCCUGAUAACGCCACUCCCGAGUUAAGGAUGGAAGUCUUUUUCUCUUCCAACCUUAGACUGCAUUUCCGGAAAUCUGAUUACCUGGCUGCCCUCCUCUUACCUACGGUACUUACAGGCAGAGGCUAAAGGUCAAGAAAGGUGGUUUCAGGAAGCAGAGGGGCAGCUAACGAACUGCUUCGAAUUGGUGGAUUCUCCAGAGGAUCUGAAUGAAUAUGCUAUGGUUUUUCUGAACUUUAUAAAGACACUCAUGGAUAAAUGUGUCCCCACAAGAUCAUUCAAAGUCUUCCUCAACCAGAAGUGCUGGAUGAAUCAAAAGACUCACAAUCGACUGAGGGCUACAUCAGUGGUAUUCACAUCCAGCAACCAAGGAAAGUACCAGAGUUCCAGGUAUGACUUCCAGAAAGCUAUCUCACUUGCAAAGUGGAUAUCCCAGACCAAACCUGAAUCACCAAAGGAUGCUCGACAGCUGUGGCAGGUCUUGGAUGCUGUCAUCUUGCACAAAGUAAAGCCAAACAACAUAUGUGACAACAAGGUUUUGCCCCAGGUGAGCUCAGUGAGGUUUAUGCUCGCUUCGACCGACUGAACGUGGAAAUGCCUUCACAAAUUACCACAGCCCCUGAUGACCCUGUGAUUUCAGUUUCUGAGGCCAACAUGAGAGUAUCCUUCAGGAGAAUGAGCCUCCGGGAAGCAUCUGGCCCAGGUGGUGUGUGUAGCUGAAUACCAGAAAUCUGUGUUGACCAACUGGCUGGAGUGUUUACUAACAUCUUUUAACCUCCCGCUUUGGCGGUCUAUGGUACCCACCUGCUUCAACCAGGCCUCAAUUACACCAGUGCCUAAGAGAAACUUUGUAAACUGCUCAGUGAUGAUUGUCCAGUAGCACUUGCAUCCACUGCGAUGAAGUUAUUGAGAGGUUGGUCACAAAACAUAUCAACUCCUGCCUGAGCAAUGACUUGGACCACUCCAAUCUGCCUACCGUCACAACAGAUCAACAGCAAAUGGUAUUUCACUGGCUCUUCACUCAGUCCUGGAACAUCUGGGCAGUGAAGAUGCCUUUAUUGAUUACAGCUCUGCAUUCAACACCAUCAUCCCCUCAAAACAAAUUCAUAAACUCCAGGAUAUCGACCUCGAUACCUCUUUGUGCAAUUGGAUCCUCGAUUUCAUCGCUUGCAGACCACAAUCAGUUCAGAUUGGCAAAAACAUCUCUACAGUCUCAUGAACACAGGGGGCACCACUAGGUUGUGUGCAUAGUUCCCCUUCUCUACUCACUUUAUAUUUAUUACUGUGAGGCUAAGUACAGACUCCAGUGCCACCUUCAAGUUUGCUGACGACACCACGGUUAUUGACUGAGUCAAAGGUGGUGACAAAUCAGUAUAUGGAAGGGAGAUUGAAAACUCCCUCUAUAUGCCACAACAACAACCUCUUACUCAACGUCAGCAAAACCGAAGAGCUGAUAAUUGACUACAGGAGGGGGAAACCAGAAGUUUAUGAGCCAGUUUUCAUCAGGGGAUCCAUAUUGGAAAGGGUCAGUAACUUUAAAUUAAUUGGCAUUUUCUUUUCAGAGGAUCUGUCCUGGGACCAGCACGUUAAUGCCAUUACAGAGAAGGAACAGCAGAGCUUCUACUUUCUUAGAAGCUUGACCGGAUUUGAUAUGUCACCUAAAACUUUUACAAAAGCCUGUAGAUGCACAGUAGAGAAUAUCCCAUCUGGUUGUAUCAUGGUAUAGAAUCACUAAUGCCCACGAUCAGAAAAGCCUAUAUUAUGUAGUGGAUAUGCACAGUCCAUCUUAGGAAAAGCCCUCCCCACAAAUGAGCACAUCAACAAGGAGCACUACACAAGAAAGCAGCAUCCAUCAUCAAGGACCCCCACCAUCCGUGCCACGCUCUCUUCUCGCAAUUGCCAACAAGAAGGAGGCACAGGAGCUUUAGGUCCCAUGCCACCAGUUCAGAGACAGUUAUUACCUUUCAACCAUCAGGCUCCUGAACUAGUGUGGAUACCUUCACUUAUCUCAGUUCUGAACUGAUUCCAUAAGCUAUGGACUCAGUUUCAAGGACUAUACAACUUAUUUUCCGACACAACACACACUAAAUGCUGGAGGAACUCAGCAGGUCAGGCGGCAUCCAAGAAAAUGAGCAAACAGUGAAUGCUUCAGGCUGAGUCUUUUCUUCAGGACUGGAAAGGAAGGGGGAAGAUGCCAGAAUGAAAAGGUGGGGUGUGGGGAAGAAGGAUAGCUAGAAGGUGAUAGGUUUUAGCAAGGUGGAUAGGACAGGUAAAGGGCUGGAGAUGAAGGAAUCUGAUAGGAGAGGAGAGUGGACCGUAGGAGAAAGGGAAGGAGAAGAGGCACCGGGGGAGGUGAUAUGCAGGGAAGAAGAGAAAAGAGGACAGAGUGGGGAAUAGAAGAGGGGAGGGGAAGGAAAAUUUAUUUUACUAGAAGGAAAAAUCGAUAUUCAUGCCAUCAGUUGGGGCUACCCUGUUGGAAUAUAAAAUGUCGCUCCUCCACCCUGAGGUGGCCUCAUCGUGGCACAAGCGGAGGCUGUGGACGGACAUGUCAGAAGAGGAAUGGGAAUUCGGAUUAAAAUGCUGAGCCACUGGGAAGUCCUGCUUUUGGUGGAUGGAUGAAGCGGGGUGCUCGGCGAAGUGGUCCCCCAUUUUACGACGGGUUUCACCAGUUUAGAGGAGCACAGGAUACAAUAGGUGACACCAGCAGAAUCGUAGAUGAAGUGUUGUCUCACCUGGGAGGACUGGUUGUGGCCCUGACGGGAUAAGUUCCAGAAGGAAGAUCAGUGGGGAGGGACAAAUGGACAAUGUAUCACAGAGGGAGCACUCUCUGAGAAAUGCUGAGAAUGGUGGUGGGGCAAGGUGGGGAGUUUGUGGUUAAAGAUGUGUUUGGUCGUAGGAUCCCUUUGGAGAUGGUGGUUUAUUAUCCAAAUGUGCUGAGUGCAGAUGCUCAUGGGGUGGUAGGUAAGGCCAGGAGAAACUCUGUCACCGUUCAAUACGGUGGGAAGAUCAGGUGAGCACGAAUGUCUGGGAAGUGGAGGAGAUGUAGGAGAGGGCAGCAUUGUUCCCAGUAUUAUUAUUUUGUGUUUUUUUUUGUAUUUACACAAUUUGUCUUUUAUUUGCACAAUGGGUAUAUGUUUUAGCUUCUGUGUAAUUUUUCUUUGACUGUAUGGUGUUUCUUUGUGUCUACUCUGUAUACCCACAAGAAAAUGAAUCUCAUGGUAGAAUAUACUGACAUAUAUGUACUUUGAUAAUAUAUCUGGAACUUUGGUUAAUAAACUUGCUUGCA